rnacentral:rRNA from 1 species
AGUGAACGCUGGCGGUAGGCCUAACACAUGCAAGUCGAACGGCAGCACAGUAAGAGCUUGCUCUUACGGGUGGCGAGUGGCGGACGGGUGAGGAAUACAUCGGAAUCUACUUUUUCGUGGGGGAUAACGUAGGGAAACUUACGCUAAUACCGCAUACGACCUACGGGUGAAAGCAGGGGAUCUUCGGACCUUGCGCGAUUGAAUGAGCCGAUGUCGGAUUAGCUAGUUGGCGGGGUAAAGGCCCACCAAGGCGACGAUCCGUAGCUGGUCUGAGAGGAUGAUCAGCCACACUGGAACUGAGACACGGUACCGACUCCUACAGGAGGCAGCAGUCGAGAAUAUUAGACAAUGGGCGAAAGACUGAUCCAGCCAUACCGCGUGGGUGAAGAAGGCCUUCGGGUUGUAAAGCCCUUUUGUUGGGAAAGAAAAGCAGCAGGUUAAUACCCCGCUGUUCUGACGGUACCCAAAGAAUAAGCACCGGCUAACUUCGUG